GGACUUAUUGCGUUAGUGUGUGCAACAGAGUCAGGAGUUCUGUCCAGCCUCAGUACAUCUUCGCCCUUGUAGUUCGGCUCGAUGCUCAUCGUCGUCUGUACGCUGUGAGUGGUCGAGCCGAUCCUGUGGCUUGUCACCGAUAAUCUCCAGAUGUAAUUCCCCCAUCCCUGACAGCACCGUCUGCCCUGUCUCGGCAUCUUGGGUUACUCUCAAGCUUGGAUCCUCCCUCUGAAGCUGCUCCAAAGCGGUGUCAAGGGGAACUUGAUAAGAGAUCGAAGGGGGUUCGAUCGAGCAGAAGAACACAGGGUUUGGUACCCUGGCACCGGUUCCAAAGAGACUCUCGACAUCCUCGUUGGUCGUGUUGUUCUGCUUUUGCAUCGCUCGUUUGGCCUGACUAGCUGCUGUCGCGCUGGUCGUGAGCAAGUCUCCGGACGUGGUGCCCGAGUAAAUCCUGAGGAAAGUAAGUGCCCCUUUGUGUUUGUCGUGGACCACCUUAAAUGCCCUGGCGGCCAGGUUAUCGCCAAAACAGUGAAACUGUUUGGCUGAGGAAUUCGACUCAGGCGAUGGGAGAUACAGUAUCACUCCGUCCAUCAGCGGCUGAACCCCAGCGUUCUUGUAGGAGCUUCCGAGCAGCAGAGGAACUCCUUUGCCAGCUAUCGUGCACCGCCUCAUAGAUUCGACCAAUAUCUGAGCCGGUAUUUUGUCCAGAGAUUCCUGCUCGAUCACCAAUUCGGCCAGUCUGUCGUCCACACCCGACAAUUUAUCGGUCAGCAACUGCAUCGUCAACACGUCGAUUAUGCCCGUCAGACCGGAGCUGUCCUGGAUAGGAAUUUGAGCAGGGAGAGCCGUCGUCUCCAGCUUGGACUCAACGGAACUGAUGCAGUAGUCGAAGUUUGCGUCUAAACGAUCCAUCUUGUUGACGUAGAUUAUUCUCGGCAACGCGUAGCGGUCUGCCUGCCUCCAGACGGUCAGAGUCUGCGCCUCGACCCCCGCCGACCCAUCCAGCACCACGACUGCACCGUCCAUGACAUUGAGAGUCUGCUCCACCUCCAUCGUGAAGUCAAUGUGACCCGGGGUGUCGAUGAGGUUGAAUCUAUGAUUCUUCCAACCGAAUGUCACUGCCGCAGACGUUAUUGUGAUGCCUCGCUGACGCUCCUGGUCCAUGUAAUCAGUCACCGUGUUACCGUGGUGAACCUCACCCAUGUUCCCGAUCGUUCCAGAGUAGAAGAGCAUCCGCUCGGUCGUCGUUGUUUUUCCUGAUUUAUAUUACGGUCAGGUGAGUAAAUUUACUUACAAUUUUUUCUCGUAGGCUAGGCAAUAAAAAUAUCCCGUGAAAAAGUACCGUUAGACGCAGAUAGAUACAUACAGACACUGUGCCAAAGUCGUAGAGAUAGAGACACAGAAUCAGUUUUCUUUCUGUUUUUUUACAGCUUUUGGCACAUUUUCGGUACACUUCUAUCUGAAUCUAACGGAAUUUUUACUACGGAGUUUUGACCAUAAAAACUGUUCGUAAAGAUUUUAUUAGUUCGAAUGCUUCAUUUGGACAUUAUUAACAAAACUACGUUUUCUCCCUCCCCUAACAUGUGCUCUGAACUCUGCGAUGGCGAUGAGGUACAAAAGUAUUACAACAAUAUCUCGUUACGCUCUCCUUAGCGCUAUAGAGGAAAAUAGUUCAGUAAAAAAUGGAAGGUGACAAAAUUCUCUACAAAUAAGAUCCUAUAUAUAAUCUCUGUAGAUCUUUACUUUUGCAGUAAUAGCCGCGCAAAGUUGACAAAUAUUCGACCAGCGCAGGAAAUAUCGAUUGCACUUACUAAAAUGUAAAUCAACAUAUUCUCUAUACAUUUCUAUAAAAAUUCAUAAAAGUUUUAUUAACAAUCGGAAGAGUUUGGUUCAUUGUUGUUUUUAUUAAAAACAUACGACUUUACAUAGAAUGAAUGGUGUCAACAUCGUUGCUUGCCUCGGAAUAUUACCUCCAAAGCCUGCUAAUACAUUUCUUUCAAUGAAAACUGGCAUUCCUGUCGACUUUCUUCUAUGUAUAAUGCAAUGUGCUUUAUUACAGCAGUAAUGUCCUCAUCUUCGGGUUGGCCCUGCUUACACUCUGGAAGGAAGAUGGGCGAAAAAUGUCUCGAUACACAAUGUAGUCAUUUAUGGAAUGUGUGCAAUUAAUCAGCAGUGUGCGAUAAUUAUAGAUGAUGCAAUAGGUCUAUUCAAGGCAGAUAUGAAAAAUUAAUACAUUAGAAGAAA